GAACCAGUGUAGCAUAGUGGUUUGAGUGUUGGACUCUGACUCUGGAGACCAGGGUUCGAAUUCCAGCUUGACCA
rnacentral:tRNA from 1 species